CCCAGGGCUCCUAAGCAACGGCGGCGGCGCGCGUAUAUUACCUCAUAAAGAAAAGCAGGAAACUCCCAAUCCGUUCACCAUAGAAACGCGAUAGAAACGCCGUUGACCGGUGUCCGUUAGUCUCCGGAGAGGGGGCUGGGCGAGGGGACCAGAAGUGAAAGAAGUUUAGCGAAGUAAGUUAGGCCCUGAAGAGGUCGCUGCAGGUUCAGGAGAGAACCAGGUCGGUGUGAGGGUCGGUCUGUAGAAUAGGCGGGGACCGGGGAUGGUCUGUUGGCCUUUCGGUGGGUUGUGGCUCUUCUGAGUCCGUGAAGGUAGCUUGGGGAUGGUGGUUUUUUGGCUUUGGUUUUUUGGGGUUUUUCGUUUUUUUUGGAAAGGAACAGGGAAGAGUCUGUGCUGGGUAUCUGUGAUCGGGGCGUCCUUGGGGUCCAUCAAAGGGGACUCUGGUGGUUAACGAUUAAACGUCUGAACAGAUGAAGCUGUCCUGAGGUCAGCGUUCAGGGUCUUCACGGGCCACUCUCCCUGCAGGUGACUGACACCUGGUUGGAGGGGCGGGGGGCGCUUGUCGAAAGAGUGCGGCUUCUUGUUCAGGGUCUCGAAGAAUUUGGAGCCCGAAGGUCGAAGAACCGUUAAGGAGGUCCGCGUGCGCGUGUAUCAGCUCACAGGUCCCAGCAAGGGACAAGAAAUGAACAAAGAAAGAGGAGGUUCCAGGACCUAGAUAUUGUUAUGUCUGGGGACCCAUUGUCGACUCUGAUAUCUCACUAGGAAUUUCAGGUAUAUCGAGACACAAAGACGGAGCCUCUGCAUUGCCAGCUAUUUUCAGAGAACAGAAGAAAAUGAUCCAGGCCCAGGUCCACACCCAUGGGAUAUGGAAAAC